ensembl:lncRNA novel transcript
GGCUGUGGCUGCCUGAGGUGUCAUUCAGUUCGUUAGGGAGGAAGAAGGGAAAAUGAAUAUUGCAGAGGCAGCUGGUGGUCUCUGCCACAGACCAUCCCACCCCCCUGCAGUCUUUCAUGUCUCUCCCUGCUCUAUUAUCAGAAGUUUCCUGGCCUGUCUAUGAUUCCCAGCUCUUAAAUUUUUUUUGGUGGAGGAGUGGGAAGAAGCUAACAUGUUAGAGUCUAUGAGGGUUUAAUAUUUGUUAUGAAAGGGUUACUGUAUGGAUGAACUUUUAAUAGCAUAAUUUCAGGUAUUUGCGGUAAUCUGAAGGAGAAGAGACAUUAUGAGGCAACUACACUUUGCACAUGGAAGGCCACACUGGAUGUCACCUCCUCCCCAGGGUCCCACAGACUUGCUGGCCUCCCCUCGGCUCUCCAUUGAUUUUUCAGAGCUGGAUCUAACAGAGCCUCCUCACCUCCAGUCUUCAAGCUGCUCCAGUUUCCAACAAGCAUUCAUGGGUCUAGGAAUCAAGGGGCAGAAGUGGAAGUGGCACCACUUACCAUCACCCCUAGUGACCCACUAGCAAAAUAUUUGCUUCCUGUUCCCAUGACUUUGUGCCUUGCUGGCCUAGAGGCCUUAGUUCCAGAGAAAAGAAUGCUUCCUUCAGGAGACACAACAAUGAGUCCGUUGAACUGGAAGUUAAGACUGCCACCCGACUGCUUUGGGUUCUUCAUGCCUCUGGGUCAUCAGGCCAGGAAGGGAAUUAUGGUGUUGGCUGGCAUGUUGAUCUUGACUACCAAGGGAAAAUUCUACUACUACACCACAAUAGAGGUAGAACCCAGAAAACUUUCCCUUUACUCCUGCCAUGAAGAUGAUGUUAACAAGAGAUGCAACACAAUGUUUAAAAAGAGCUUUACAAUCUGUUCUUGAAAGAUCAAAAAUCUGAUGAAAUUGACUGCAGUUGAAAUGGGCUCCUUGAUGUCAGUGUGGUUGAGAGAAGCCAGGGUGUCUGAGUCCAAAUGACAGCAAAAGCACGGUGGAUGUGGUCACUGAAUUAUGCAGCAGAGCAAGCACAGUGUGAAGACUUUAAGUGAUUAUCCGGCAUUCAUACAUUUCUGGCUGUCAUUUUUUAAAUUGUGAGAAUCUCAAGAAUGAAACCCACAGGCAGCCCAUGGCUGGAUGGAAAAAACAAACUGGCUUAAACUAUCACAUUACAAAAUAAGAUUUCUUAUUUUAUUUAUUUUUAUUUCUUGAGACUGAGUUUCGCCCUUGUUUCCUAGGCUGGAGUGAUUGGUGCAAUCUCAGCUCACUGCAACCUCUGCCUCCCGAGUUCAAGCUAUUCUCUCGCCUCAGCCUCCCAAGUAGCUGGGAUUACUGGCAUGUACCACCAUACCCAGCUAAUUUUUGUGUUUGUUGGCCAUGCUAGUCUCGAACGCCUGACCUCAGGUGAUCCACCCAUCUCGGCCUCCCAAAGUGCCGGGUUUACAGUUGUCAACCACCACGCCCUGCCUAGACGACAAGAUUUCUUAAUCAAUUCUACAAUACGAGUCUGUUAAAAAAUUCAGAACCAUUUGAAUGGAGGUGCAGCUGAGCACCAUUGAUGAAAGGCUGUGCUGUUACUACCUAUGUCUAGUAAGUUCCUUCUGGCAUCCCAUUAAAAUAACCGUGGCUAUUUUAUUGGGAGAAACUACUGGAUAUCAAGAAAGAUUAAGUGAAUUCUCAGGAAUAUAGAAUGUUAUUGUUGUUUGCUGAGCAGGGUGAUUGGCCAUAUUCACUG